AAAAACCUUUCCCUUCUUUUCCCCCCCGCAGAAUCAGUACAGCUUGACAAGAGCCCAACAGUCCUACAAAUCGCUGGUCCAGAUCCACGAGAAGAACGGCUGGUACACGCCCCCCAAGGAAGACGGCUAGCCGCGGCGGCGCCCAAGGGAACCGGAUCCCAUCGUCCUCACCCCUCCCUCCACCACCCAUCCCCCCCCCCCGGACGCCCCCCCCCCCCCCCUCUCUGGAUGCUGUGGAAGGACAUUUUUUUCCCCCCCUCCCUCCUUGGACGCCUUUUUUGCCAGCUCUUCGGAAGAGCCGCUCCGAUCGCCUCUUGGGUGGGACUUCUGACGAACUUCUCCAGUCGUGAGCAGCCCCCCCCCGACUCCCACUCGGACCCUCGCUGGCCGGCGAUCGGCUCCCCCCCCUCCUCGCUCUUAUUAAAUGGGGGGGGGGGCGGAGAAGAAUGGAGAAAAAAGAA